UACGUAGGGUGCGAGCGUUAAUCGGAAUUACUGGGCGUAAAGUGUGCGCAGGCGGCCGCGCAAGUCGAGUGUGAAAUCCCCGGGCUUAACCUGGGAACUGCACUUGUGACUGCACAGCUGGAGUACGGCAGAGGGGGAUGGAAUUCCGCGUGUAGCAGUGAAAUGCGUAGAUAUGCGGAGGAACACCGAUGGCGAAGGCAGUCCCCUGGGCCUGUACUGGCGCUCAUGCACGAAAGCGUGGGGAGCAAACAGG
rnacentral:rRNA from 1 species